GACGAACGCUGGCGGCGUGCUUAACACAUGCAAGUCGAACGAUGAAGCUGGAGCUUGCUCCGGUGGAUUAGUGGCGAACGGGUGAGUAACACGUGAGAAAUCUGCCCUUGACUCUGGGAUAACUGCGGGAAACUGUAGCUAAUACCGGAUAUGAGGCUCGAAGGCAUCUUCGGGUCUGGAAAGAAUUUCGGUCAAGGAUGAGCUCGCGGCCUAUCAGCUUGUUGGUGAGGUAAUGGCUCACCAAGGCGACGACGGGUAGCCGGCCUGAGAGGGUGACCGGCCACACUGGGACUGAGACACGGCCCAGACUCCUACGGGAGGCAGCAGUGGGGAAUAUUGCACAAUGGGCGAAAGCCUGAUGCAGCAACGCCGCGUGAGGGAUGAAGGCCUUCGGGUUGUAAACCUCCUUUAGCAGGGAAGAAGCGAAAGUGACGGUACCUGCAGAAAAAGCACCGGCUAACUACGUGCCAGCCGCCGCGGUAA
rnacentral:rRNA from 1 species